GGACGCAAGUCUGAACCAGCCAUGCCGCGUGCAGGAUGAAGGCCUUCUGGGUUGUAAACUUCUUUUAUCAGGGAAGAAACCACNUAUUUCUAUUUNCNCCGACGGUACCNGAGGAAUAAGCACCGGCUAACUCCGUGCCAGCAGCCGCGGUAAUACGGAGGGUGCAAGCGUUAUCCGGAUUCACUGGGUUUAAAGGGUGUGUAGGCGGGCANGUAAGUCNGAGGUGAAAUCUCNGAGCUCAACUNNNAAACUGCCNUGGAUACUAUAUGUCUUGAAUAUNGUGGAGGUAGGCGGAAUAUGUCAUGUAGCGGUGAAAUGCUUAGAUAUGACAUAGAACACCNAUUGCGAAGGCAGCUUGCUAAACNNUUAUUGACGCUGAGGCACGAAAGCGUGGGGAUCAAACAGGAUUAGAUACCCUGGUAGUCCACGCCCUAAACGAUGANUACUCGACAUACGCGAUACACAGUGUGUGUCU
rnacentral:rRNA from 1 species